rnacentral:rRNA from 1 species
AGAGCGAACGCUGGCGGCAGGCUUAACACAUGCAAGUCGAACGGGCGUAGCAAUACGUCAGUGGCAGACGGGUGAGUAACGCGUGGGAACGUACCUUUUGGUUCGGAACAACACAGGGAAAACUUGUGCUAAUACCGGAUAAGCCCUUACGGGGAAAGAUUUAUCGCCGAAAGAUCGGCCCGCGUCUGAUUAGCUAGUUGGUGAGGUAACGGCUCACCAAGGCGACGAUCAGUAGCUGGUCUGAGAGGAUGAUCAGCCACAUUGGGACUGAGACACGGCCCAAACUCCUACGGGAGGCAGCAGUGGGGAAUAUUGGACAAUGGGCGCAAGCCUGAUCCAGCCAUGCCGCGUGAGUGAUGAAGGCCCUAGGGUUGUAAAGCUCUUUGUGCGGGAAGAUAAUGACGGUACCGCAAGAAUAAGCCCCGGCUAACCUCGUG